rnacentral:RNase_P_RNA from 1 species
AAGCUCGUUGAUGUAGUCGCUGGCCUUUUGGCGAGAGGAAAGUCCGGGCAGUACAGGAUACGGUAGUUGCUAACGGCAACCGCGCGCAAGCGUAGGAAUAGUGCCACAGAAACAAUACCGCCACAGCUUCGGCUGUGGCAAGGGUGAAAAGAGUGGGGUAAGAGCCCACAGAUUGCAGUGGCGACAUUGUAAUGGGGUAAACUCUACCGACUGCAAGGAGACCUAUACACCUUGAUCCGAGGAUGGUCGCUCACCGCUAGACCACGCAAGCAAUUGUGUGGCUAGAUAGAUGACUACAGGCUUUCGCUUCGGCGGGAGUUACAGAACCCGGCUUACAAGACGGGCUUACUA